rnacentral:rRNA from 1 species
AGGGAAUAUUGCGCAAUGGGCGGAAGCCUGACGCAGCGACGCCGCGUGAGCGAAGAAGGCCUUCGGGUCGUAAAGCUCUGUCCUUGGGGAAGAAGGCGAAAGCUUGACGGUACCCAAGAAGAAAGCCCCGGCUAACUACGUGCCAGCAGCCGCGGUAAUACGUAGGGGGCGAGCGUUGUCCGGAAUUACUGGGCGUAAAGGGUGCGUAGGCGGCCUUUUAAGUCAGAUGUGAAAGGCUGCGGCUUAACCGCAGGACUGCAUGUGAAACUGGAAGGCUUGAGUGUCGGAGAGGGUAGUGGAAUUCCCAGUGUAGCGGUGAAAUGCGUAGAUAUUGGGAGGAACACCAGUGGCGAAGGCGACUACCUGGACGAUAACUGACGCUGAGGCACGAAAGCUAGGGGAGCAAAC